UCCUUCAUGAGAAUGGCCCAU
rnacentral:miRNA from 1 species